rnacentral:lncRNA from 1 species
ACCUCCUGCAUUUGGAGGUCGAAACUUCGGCGCAGGCAACGACAGCUACGCGAACGAUGCCCCUGUUGAUCUGCCCCCUGGUAAGCUCGAUGACCUGCUGAAGGAUCUCAAAUUUGAUGUUGGUGGCAAGGAGGAUGGUGCUGUGGAGGGUGAUGCGGACACCAAGAGAAGCGAGGGCCAGGAUGACUUUCUUGACGACGACUUCAGCAAGGAUGAAGAUGACUACGCCAACAAGAGAAGCUGAAUGUCUUUCCAACAUGAAGCACCGGCCUAAUAAUUUUCCAUGGAUUUGUUCUCCAUGACCUCCUUGUUUUUGGUAUGUCCUGUGAUGAAGAUAAUAAUGUAGUGCUUGCAAACAAGUUAUGUUCGGUCUCUUAGCUACGUUCUGUACGUCUGCUUCGUGUACUGUGUGCUGGAUUCAUAGUAUGGUGCCAACUUGAACCUGAACUCUGCAUGUAUUGGACGCUGUGAAAUUGCACUUUCAGUAGCUGUUUGUUAUAUCAGUUCGCUAUAGAUCAUAAUUUAGUACUUCAGGUG